GCCGCGGUGGCAGAGCAUGGCCAAAUGCGCAGGACUUAAGAUCCUGUCCCUAAGAGGGUUCGUCGGUUCAAAUCCGGCCCGCGGCA
rnacentral:tRNA from 1 species